UACGUAGGGGGCAAGCGUUGUCCGGAUUUAUUGGGCGUAAAGAGCGUGUAGGCGGUUAGGUAGGUCCGUUGUGAAAACUCGAGGCUCAACCUCGAGACGCCGAUGGAAACCCCCUAACUAGAGUCCGGAAGAGGAGAGUGGGAUUCCUGGUGUAGCGGUGAAAUGCGCAGAUAUCAGGAAGAACACCCGUGGCUAAGGCGGCUCUCUAGUACGGUACUGACGCUGAGACGCGAAAGCGUGGGGAGCGAACAGG
rnacentral:rRNA from 1 species